UGUCUUGGGGGUAUGUUCUUUGACCCUCUAACUUUCCCGUAAUCAUGCUAGCAUCCCCAUUAAUGUAGAAGUGUUUAGAAACAUAUUCUAGUCUUAUUUAAAAUAAAAGUGACUCCAAAGUGAUCAUAGCUGUCUGGGAUUUCGUCGUCGAAAUCAUCGUCGGAAAAGGAGGACCAAUAUGCAGCAGAAUUGUGUUGGCUCAUCUUGAACAUUUAUUAGACUCAAAAUGAACAUACAAAAUAACAAAACGAACUCACGAUAUAGACAGUCUUCUCAGGCUCACAUACGCUAGACAAGAAACAAUCUCCCACAAAUGACAAACACAAACACACCCUAAUAUAUGGGACUCUCAAUCAAAGGCAAAGAGAAAACACCUGCCUUCAAUUGAGAGUCCCAACCCCAAUUAAUCAACCAUAGAAACACACUCACUAGACUCCACAUAGAAAUACAUAAACAUAGACCAUAAACCAAAAACCCGGAAAUACUAAAUCAAACGCCCUUUUACCAAAACACCACCCCGAACCACAUAAAACAAAUACCCUCUGCCACGUCCUGACCAAACUACAAUGACAAUUAACCCUUAUACUGGCCAGGACGUGACAAUAGCUGUGGUGGGAAAAUGUGCUUUAUGAUGUCAUAACAUGUGAACUCUGCAUGUGACAAAUAACUUUGCACCAUGAAGGAAGUAAGUGGGGAAAUACACACACAUUAUUAUUUAGGAGAUGGUCUAUACAUCCAGAAAGGUCAGCGAUGAAGAGGGAAAUUCCGAGGAGUUCAGAUUCUUUCAUUCCUUCUGGUCCGAGGCAGCAUUGGUAUCAAGUGUUCCUAACAGGUGGGGGCAUAGGGGGUAUUGGUCAUACUGGUGUUGUUGGCGAGGACGAAGCUUGGGCAUCGGGCAGAAUGUUGCCACCUGCAUGAGUGGAACAGAGGAGCCUCAGUUCUGGUUCUCUUUCCUGAGACGACAACCACAGGAUGAGGCUUGAGAGGAGGUCUCAGGAGAGAGAAUGUUCCAUGACUUUCACACCUUCAACCUCAAG
rnacentral:lncRNA from 8 species